AGUGAACGCUGGCGGUAGGCCUAACACAUGCAAGUCGAACGGCAGCACAGUAAGAGCUUGCUCUUACGGGUGGCGAGUGGCGGACGGGUGAGGAAUACAUCGGAAUCUACUUUUUCGUGGGGGAUAACGUAGGGAAACUUACGCUAAUACCGCAUACGACCUACGGGUGAAAGCAGGGGAUCUUCGGACCUUGCGCGAUUGAAUGAGCCGAUGUCGGAUUAGCUAGUUGGCGGGGUAAAGGCCCACCAAGGCGACGAUCCGUAGCUGGUCUGAGAGGAUGAGCAGCAAAACUGGAACAGAGAAAGGGCCAAGACUCCUAGGGAAGGAGGGAGUGGGAAAUAUGGGAAAAGGGGGGCAAGCCUGAUCCAGCAAAACGGGGGGGGGGAAGAAGGCAUUGGGGUUGUAAAGCCUUUUUGUGGGGAAAAAAAAGAAGCAGUUUAAUACCCCGCUGUUCGGACGGUACCAAAAAAAAAGGCACGGGAUAAUUUCGGG
rnacentral:rRNA from 1 species